rnacentral:rRNA from 1 species
CUUAACACAUGCAAGUCGAACGGAAAGGCCCUGCUUUUGUGGGGUGCUCGAGUGGCGAACGGGUGAGUAACACGUGAGUAACCUGCCCUUGACUUUGGGAUAACUUCAGGAAACUGGGGCUAAUACCGGAUAGGAGCUCCUGCUGCAUGGUGGGGGUUGGAAAGUUUCGGCGGUUGGGGAUGGACUCGCGGCUUAUCAGCUUGUUGGUGGGGUAGUGGCUUACCAAGGCUUUGACGGGUAGCCGGCCUGAGAGGGUGACCGGCCACAUUGGGACUGAGAUACGGCCCAGACUCCUACGGGAGGCAGCAGUGGGGAAUAUUGCACAAUGGGCGGAAGCCUGAUGCAGCAACGCCGCGUGCGGGAUGACGGCCUUCGGGUUGUAAACCGCUUUCGCCUGUGACGAAGCGUGAGUGACGGUAAUGGGUAAAGAAGCACCGGCUAACUACGUGCCAGCAGCCGCGGUGAUACGUAGGGUGCGAGCGUUGUCCGGAUUUAUUGGGCGUAAAGGGCUCGUAGGUGGUUGAUCGCGUCGGAAGUGUAAUCUUGGGGCUUAACCCUGAGCGUGCUUUCGAUACGGGUUGACUUGAGGAAGGUAGGGGAGAAUGGAAUUCCUGGUGGAGCGGUGGAAUGCGCAGAUAUCAGGAGGAACACCAGUGGCGAAGGCGGUUCUCUGGGCCUUUCCUGACGCUGAGGAGCGAAAGCGUGGGGAGCGAACAGGCUUAGAUACCCUGGUAGUCCACGCUGUAAACGGUGGGUACUAGGUGUGGGGUCCAUUCCACGGGUUCCGUGCCGUAGCUAACGCUUUAAGUACCCCGCCUGGGGAGUACGGCCGCAAGGCUAAAACUCAAAGGAAUUGACGGGGCCCCGCACAAGCGGCGGAGCAUGCGGAUUAAUUCGAUGCAACGCGUAGAACCUUACCUGGGUUUGACAUGGAUCGGGAGUGCUCAGAGAUGGGUGUGCCUCUUUUGGGGUCGGUUCACAGGUGGUGCAUGGCUGUCGUCAGCUCGUGUCGUGAGAUGUUGGGUUAAGUCCCGCAACGAGCGCAACCCUUGUUCACUGUUGCCAGCACGUUAUGGUGGGGACUCAGUGGAGACCGCCGGGGUCAACUCGGAGGAAGGUGGGGAUGACGUCAAGUCAUCAUGCCCCUUAUGUCCAGGGCUUCACGCAUGCUACAAUGGCUGGUACAGAGAGUGGCGAGCCUGUGAGGGUGAGCGAAUCUCGGAAAGCCGGUCUCAGUUCGGAUUGGGGUCUGCAACUCGACCUCAUGAAGUCGGAGUCGCUAGUAAUCGCAGAUCAGCAACGCUGCGGUGAAUACGUUCCCGGGGCUUGUACACACCGCCCGUCAAGUCAUGAAAGUUGGUAACACCCGAAGCCGGUGGCCUAACCGUUGUGGGGGAGCCGUCGAAGGUGGGACUGGUGAUUAGGACUAAGUCAUA